AGUGAACGCUGGCGGUAGGCCUAACACAUGCAAGUCGAACGGCAGCACGGGAGAGCUUGCUCUCUGGGUGGCGAGUGGCGGACGGGUGAGGAAUACAUCGGAAUCUGCCCAGUCGUGGGGGAUAACGUAGGGAAACUUACGCUAAUACCGCAUACGACCUUCGGGUGAAAGAGGGGGAUCGCAAGACCUCUCGCGAUUGGAUGAGCCGAUGUCGGAUUAGCUAGUUGGCGGGGUAAUGGCCCACCAAGGCGACGAUCCGUAGCUGGUCUGAGAGGAUGAUCAGCCACACUGGAACUGAGACACGGUCCAGACUCCUACGGGAGGCAGCAGUGGGGAAUAUUGGACAAUGGGCGCAAGCCUGAUCCAGCCAUACCGCGUGGGUGAAGAAGGCCUUCGGGUUGUAAAGCCCUUUUGUUGGGAAAGAAAUCUUUCAGGCUAAUACCCUGGGAGGAUGACGGUACCCAAAGAAUAAGCACCGGCUAACUGCGU
rnacentral:rRNA from 1 species